rnacentral:rRNA from 1 species
AUUGAACGCUGGCGGCAGGCCUAACACAUGCAAGUCGAACGGUAACAGGAAGAAGCUUGCUUCUUUGCUGACGAGUGGCGGACGGGUGAGUAAUGUCUGGGAAACUGCCUGAUGGAGGGGGAUAACUACUGGAAACGGUAGCUAAUACCGCAUAACGUCGCAAGACCAAAGAGGGGGACCUUCGGGCCUCUUGCCAACGGAUGUGCCCAGAUGGGAUUAGCUAGUAGGUGGGGUAACGGCUCACCUAGGCGACGAUCCCUAGCUGGUCUGAGAGGAUGACCAGCCACACUGGAACUGAGACACGGUCCAGACUCCUACGGGAGGCAGCAGUGGGGAAUAUUGCACAAUGGGCGCAAGCCUGAUGCAGCCAUGCCGCGUGUAUGAAGAAGGCCUUCGGGUUGUAAAGUACUUUCAGCGGGGAGGAAGGGAGUAAAGUUAAUACCUUUGCUCAUUGACGUUACCCGCAGAAGAAGCACCGGCUAACUACGUG